UGGUGCGUAGAGAUGGCCUUCUAGCUUCAUUUCGGUCUCUCAUAUGGUAAGUCGACACACUUGGGUGGACAUACUGAGCGCAACCAAAAGCACAGCUGCCGGCCUGUUCGCGUGUCGUUUCCUGUGUGUUUCUGUCACUACAUCUUUUUUGCUUUGGCACGCGAAAAAUGGAGCAUGAGUACGCCGGGAGCGCCAAGGAAAAGCGCUCAGUCACGUCGUGCUAUGAAUACUUCAACAUGUAUGGGUCCCAUAUGGGGUAUCUCUGGGGGUGCGUCCUUCUUCUCGUGGCGAUUAUUUUUCCCUUGGCUGUGAUGGGGUGUCGCUCUCGCUCCGUGUUUCGCCGCCGACGGUUGCGGUCACCUGCCCCGUUUAGUUGACGUUUGCCUUUCCAUCUGGUUGGCGGUUACAAUUUUGCGGAGGGGAGCACAAAGGGGUAUAAGGAAGACGGUGUGAUUGCACCAUGCUUUUUCUCUGUGUAUGUGUGAGAGAAAUCGGCACUUUUCUGACAUCAUCAGUGUCGGCCAAGAGGAGCCACGCUUUCUAACUGAAUCUCCGCGCGAUGCUCCUUUCUCUAUUUUGGCACUUGACCGUUUUUGUAUUCGGAUGAUGAUGAAUGUCGACGUGCUCUGCACUUUCCAGUUCCGCGGCGACAAGAGGCUUAGCGGCUCAAGCAUCUGGCCUUCCCACGGACGUCCUUUUCUUGUGCGCAGUGCAGGCCUUUUCCGCAGCCCUGAUUUAGUGGGGCUCUCUGCUGUGAGGCGCUUCUUGUGUUUCCAGUCUCUUCUUGUCUCCAAACUUUUUUUUUUUGGAGUGGUGGUGCUGGUGGCAUGCCGAGCAGUUUGAAUGGUCGUGGCGCGUCGGUAUUGCUUCUCGUUCCUCUUCUUGGGUUACCGAAUGGGUCGGCACGACUGCCCGUCUGCAUAGAUGUGCUGAAAGACGGAAGUGAGGAUUACGGCAGGGAAAGAGCCUCGAAAACUGUGAGGGUGCUCAUCGAAAAGAAUGGUCCACUUUUUUGCAUGCACACGAGGAAGAAACAGGAACGUGCGCCCACGUGCAUGCUGUCAAAUGUGUACACAGAGGAGAGUUGGGGCGAGGUUUCCUUGCUACUGGUGAUGAACGUAUCUCAACUUGUGCGUGGCGAGCG
rnacentral:misc_RNA from 1 species